UUCUGUCACUCGGGUCGAGAUGCAGCCUCUGCAGAAUCCAAAGGCAGUCAGAACUCUUCACGGACUGUCCAGUCACCUGGACCUCAGGCUACCUGAGCUGUCAGAAAGUGACCCGCAGAUGGGAAGAGCAGGACAAGGUCCUCCCUAUCAGGAACAAUGGUUUCAGCUCUCCUAGGCAAACACCGUGCAUUCCUGGCUCUGGAAAACUGCAUGCCAAAUUUUCUGACCAACUACUUGUGGGUUGAGAGUUCUCCUUUGGGAGAACCCCAAAGUCAGCCAGACGCCUGACUGCCAGUCCCAGGG